UUGACACAUCCAGGUGGUUAGAUAAUCCACGCGGUUGUAAGAGAAUAAAAUUGAGACAAAUUUUUUUUUUAAGUCUAUUGUUCUUUAUACGCUAAAAGUAUGUGUUUGGACAGCCAUGCUACGAGGUUAUUUCUAUCAUUUCUUACUCUGCAUAUUUCUUGAAAAAAAUGCUAUAUUUCUUUCAAAAGGAAAUAAACUUUUGAACAGACAAAUGAAUAAAGGACGCAGGUAACAGUUUUUUCUUCACCCCUUAAAUUCCUGGAAAUUAAUAGAAGAAAAUUGAGAAGAGAGAAAAAAAUAACUCAAGUCCCUGAGGAAAAUAUAUUUCUGAACAAAAGAAACAAAAAAAACGUACGACUGGCUUGAGAGAUAGUCAUCUGUGCAAGAGUGAAAGUUUCUUUUGAAAAAAAUAAGAAGGAAUUUCAGGAAUGUCAGGAAUGUCAGGAAUGUGGAAAAUACAAUAGAGACGCAAGUAAGUUUUGUGUAUGGAAGGGUCAGGAUACAAUUUUUCCGGAUGGAUUGGAUUUUUUAUUAUUUUGGAACGUGACAAAUACAAUAGAGAGGCAGGAAUGAUUUAUAGAUAUUUAGUUAAUCCCAGACACGCAGUCG